ensembl:lncRNA TMC3-AS1 TMC3 antisense RNA 1
CCUUGGGCGGGCCGGGUAAGGUCCAGCCGUAUCCGCCUCCUUCAUGUCCCGCUGUGGGAGGGGCUCUGGAGCGCCGGGACUGUGAGAUGGCCAAUGACGGUCUGACCCGUUGGGCCGGGCCAGGUCGCGGACAACGUCGACCGUUUGUUUAAGAAGCGUGGACUCUUGUCCUGAGUGCACCGAGGCUUUCAGCCUGCGGGACAGUGGUGCGAUUUGCAUUAGAGAAAGGGAGAUGCCAUGUGCUGGCCCAGCACUCCAACAGGGGCCUGACCUCUAGGAACGGGACACUGGAGGAAGCCUAGACAUCUGAACAAAUCAAGUCAUCCAGAUCCACGGUCAGCUCCUGCCCCGACUUGGCCUUCCUCCUGCUGGGCUGGCCCACGGACCUCGGGAACCUGCCCUGGCUGUGGGUGACCUGCAGCCUAUCUCCCAGGACUAUGGAAGCCCCAUGCAGGAACAUGGUUCUGACACUUUGGGGAUUAUACCCUAAGCUUAAAGGACUGGAAAAGCCCCUGAAGUCCCGAGACCACAACCCUCCACCUUCUAAAGAUAAGACAAGUCACUGAAGGUCUCAGAACUGUGGCCCAUUCACCCCUUCCCUCAAGACAAGAGUGUGGCCAAGCAUCAAUCUCACCCCCAGAGACCAGACGGUGUCCAGGUCUUGGGCAGACGAAACCUGCUCCUUGGGGAUGGUCUUCCUGGCUGUGCUUCCAAAGGGCUGGCCUGCAAUCAGCUGGUUUUCACUUGAUCCUUUCGGGGUUUGCAUUAUAUCUGACUGAAGGAAUGAACUGGGAGAGAACAGCAGAGCCGCAGCGGAAUGUGGAAAGGCCCACGUCCAGACUGUUCCCAUUCUGAUUUAAAAGCCUGAUGAAGGAACAGCUGAACUCAGAGAAACAGCAGGUGAAAAGGAAAGGUCCUGUGAGGGUACAGUGAGAAGAUGGCCAUCUACCAGCCAGGAGGAAAGGCCUAACAAGAAACCAACUCUGCUGGCACCUUGAUCGUGAACUCCCGCCCUCUAGAACUGUGAGAAAAUAAACGUCUGUUUAAGCCACCUGGUCUGUGGUAUUUUGUUAUGGAAGCCCGAGCAGACCAAUAUGCCUACUAAGUAAGUACAAGUUCUAGAUAUCCAAGUGUUUUCUUUAUGUCAUCUCCUCGACAAAUUAAAUAUUUCAAUGUCCACAUUCUCAGAAAGAAAAGGAGUCAGUGUUUUAAUGGAUCCUGUUUAAUCUUUACUUCCCUGUAUCCUUAUUUCCGUGAAUGUGACUUCACAAAUGGAGUCAUCCUAUAUCCUACUCCCAAGGCACAAUCUGCUAAAAGCAAGAAAAAGGCUUUGCGCUGCUAAUUCACCCUUUUCUGCUCAGCAUUUGGCUCUAAACUGUAACCUGAGACCCUGAAAUUGCUGAGGCCCUUAACCUCUCCUUACUCCUUUGACUCAGAAUGAUCUCAGCGGGACAGUUCCUGGAGUUUCCGUUCAUGUUUCAGAACAUGACGGAGACCAAGAAAAUAAAACGUUGAUUCCCGAUGCCAUGUGGCUCAGGGUUUAGACAAUGUAUUCUGGUCACAGAAAAUUGAGACCAAAUCUGUUUUCUUGCAUCUGUUCCAUUGCCCUCUGUGACAUUAAUUCUCAACAGCAGAUUCAACGUGCUGGAACUAACCAAUGUUAGAGUGCUUAAGAAGUCAGGUUCAACUGAGCUCGGGUCACUGUGCUAGAACUAUGGUUACCAAAACUGAAGUAUGUAUUUACUCUUCAAUUCCUAUUUCAGCUGUGAAACUGUGAGUUUUAAUUAGAGAGUAAAGAGUUUGUCUCCUUAGCUUCAUGUUAGAAAGCAAAAUGAAAAAAAUUGUCUAAAACCCUUAAAAAAUAGUCCAAACCUGGGAUAAUUCUUCUCCGCUAUUCAUGAAAAUAUAUGACCUAUUUUAGGCAGGUAAAACAGAGGCAAAAUUAAAUUGAGACAUUUGAAACCAUGGAAUAAUCUAACAACACGCUUUUUUUAAUUCAUUCACAAAUGACAUGUCAAGUUCCUAAUAUUUAUAAUGAACUGCUUUAGGCAUGAGACAAUGAAAUAGUGUAUAAAGUAUUGCAAAUAAACUCAUAUAUGUAAAAUUGUUUUAAAAAUUUUAGUGUUAUGGAAAUAUAGCACUGUUGUAUUAAAUAAUAACCUAUUCUAUAAUCUAUUUUUCUUGGCUUUAGAAAGAAACAGCUCUUA